AUCCAACAGAAAAUAUAGGCCACCUGUAGAAGUAGACUCGUUACAAAAUCUUUCCAAUAAUCUGACAAGUACAUCAUGUAUCUAACUCGGCCAAGUAAAUUACACACUCAUAUCUUGGGUUUUAGGUACAUUUAUGUUUAAAAUCGAGGCAACAAUAGCUAAACCAGUAUUUAAUCUCUUUUAUCAAAUUGUGCAGAAGCAUUCUAUAUAGGUUUAUCUGUACAAUAGCUGAUAUAUUAAAGUGAGUAGCUUGAACUACAUCACUUGUAAAGACUCCCUAAAUUAUAGACAUAUCCAAAACAAACUGCAGUACUCCUUCCUUCCCUAUAGUAUUUUAUAAGUAUAUAGUAUCAUAAAUGCUUCUUACUAUUUUGGUUACCGAUUUAAUCAAUUCGUUUGAUGUGCUUUAGUAAUAGCUGAAAGUUUUGGUGUCACCUCUAUUGUAAGGGGAGAAAGAACUAUAGGUCAAAGCCUCCUCAUAUCUGAUGCUGAUAUAUUUAGCUUUAGAAUUAUGGAUUUAGAUGUCUUCCUGAUUCCCCUCCUCUUUCAUUGCCCUACUUUUAGAGCUUCUCUUCUUUGUUUGUGCAGAUUUUGUUUCUCUAUGUCUUCCUGAUUCCCCCCUAUUUCAGUGCUCUACUUUUAGAGCUUCUCUUCUUUGUUUGUGCAGAUUUUGUUUCUCUAUGCCUACAAGACAAUCGCAGAAAAUCCAAGAAGAUUGACACGAGUGACCCUGGACCCGGAGGCUGUACCAAUCAUGUUUAUAGCACUACAAACUUGGAAUACGUCCAGUAUUUAUUAUCUUGGUAAUUCACUGCAUAUGAAGAAAGGACAACCGUUCAUGGACCCAUCCCAAGAGGUAUCGAUCUGCAGAAACUUACAUCUAGGUGUUUGUCCUGAACAUAUAUGCAUAGGAGGUGAUGGUUACAUUUAAGCUCAUCUGGUGGUGGUUGUUGCCGCUCCUUCUCUCCACGGCGUAGACCUUGUCGUCAAGCUCAUCUUCUAUCCUAAGGUGAUGAUCUUUCUGCAAGUUGCUGCCUGGGUUUAUAGUCCCGUUCGUUUCUUUACAAGACACAGAUGACAGAAAUGCCGCAAUGGGACCAGAGUUCAAAUUAGGAUGAAGAGGUGUUCUUCCAUGGUGGCCAAAGGUGAGGCGCUUCUCCGGCCAGAUCCAUGGCCACCAUGUUGCCAUCGACGUCCACCGUCUUUAACAGAUCG